rnacentral:rRNA from 1 species
AUUGAACGCUGGCGGCAGGCCUAACACAUACAAGUCGAGCGGAUGAAGGGAGCUUGCUCCUGGAUUCAGCGGCGGACGGGUGAGUAAUGCCUAGGAAUCUGCCUGGUAGUGGGGGAUAACGUCCGGAAACGGGCGCUAAUACCGCAUACGUCCUGAGGGAGAAAGUGGGGGAUCUUCGGACCUCACGCUAUCAGAUGAGCCUAGGUCGGAUUAGCUAGUUGGUGGGGUAAAGGCCUACCAAGGCGACGAUCCGUAACUGGUCUGAGAGGAUGAUCAGUCACACUGGAACUGAGACACGGUCCAGACUCCUACGGGAGGCAGCAGUGGGGAAUAUUGGACAAUGGGCGAAAGCAUGAUCCAGCCAUGCCGCGUGUGUGAAGAAGGUCUUCGGAUUGUAAAGCACUUUAAGUUGGGAGGAAGGGCAGUAAGUUAAUACCUUGCUGUUUUGACGUUACCAACAGAAUAAGCACCGGCUAACUUCGUG